rfam:Dipodomys ordii contig_12747, whole genome shotgun sequence.
GGGAAUGUGGCUUAGUGGUAGAGUACUUGCCUAGCAUGCAUGAAGCCCUGGGUUCAAUUCCUCAGUACCA